rnacentral:rRNA from 1 species
GAUGAACGCUGGCGGCGUGCCUAAUACAUGCAAGUCGAGCGAACGGACGAGAAGCUUGCUUUUCUGAUGUUAGCGGCGGACGGGUGAGUAACACGUGGAUAACCUACCUAUAAGACUGGGAUAACUUCGGGAAACCGGAGCUAAUACCGGAUAAUAUUUUGAACCGCAUGGUUCAAAAGUGAAAGACGGUCUUGCUGUCACUUAUAGAUGGAUCCGCGCUGCAUUAGCUAGUUGGUAAGGUAACGGCUUACCAAGGCAACGAUGCAUAGCCGACCUGAGAGGGUGAUCGGCCACACUGGAACUGAGACACGGUCCAGACUCCUACGGGAGGCAGCAGUAGGGAAUCUUCCGCAAUGGGCGAAAGCCUGACGGAGCAACGCCGCGUGAGUGAUGAAGGUCUUCGGAUCGUAAAACUCUGUUAUUAGGGAAGAACAUAUGUGUAAGUAACUGUGCACAUCUUGACGGUACCUAAUCAGAAAGCCACGGCUAACUACGUGCCAGCAGCCGCGGUAAUACGUAGGUGGCAAGCGUUAUCCGGAAUUAUUGGGCGUAAAGCGCGCGUAGGCGGUUUUUUAAGUCUGAUGUGAAAGCCCACGGCUCAACCGUGGAGGGUCAUUGGAAACUGGAAAACUUGAGUGCAGAAGAGGAAAGUGGAAUUCCAUGUGUAGCGGUGAAAUGCGCAGAGAUAUGGAGGAACACCAGUGGCGAAGGCGACUUUCUGGUCUGUAACUGACGCUGAUGUGCGAAAGCGUGGGGAUCAAACAGGAUUAGAUACCCUGGUAGUCCACGCCGUAAACGAUGAGUGCUAAGUGUUAGGGGGUUUCCGCCCCUUAGUGCUGCAGCUAACGCAUUAAGCACUCCGCCUGGGGAGUACGACCGCAAGGUUGAAACUCAAAGGAAUUGACGGGGACCCGCACAAGCGGUGGAGCAUGUGGUUUAAUUCGAAGCAACGCGAAGAACCUUACCAAAUCUUGACAUCCUUUGACAACUCUAGAGAUAGAGCCUUCCCCUUCGGGGGACAAAGUGACAGGUGGUGCAUGGUUGUCGUCAGCUCGUGCCGUGAGAUGUUGGGUUAAGUCCCGCAACGAGCGCAACCCUUAAGCUUAGUUGCCAUCAUUAAGUUGGGCACUCUAAGUUGACUGCCGGUGACAAACCGGAGGAAGGUGGGGAUGACGUCAAAUCAUCAUGCCCCUUAUGAUUUGGGCUACACACGUGCUACAAUGGACAAUACAAAGGGCAGCGAAACCGCGAGGUCAAGCAAAUCCCAUAAAGUUGUUCUCAGUUCGGAUUGUAGUCUGCAACUCGACUACAUGAAGCUGGAAUCGCUAGUAAUCGUAGAUCAGCACGCUACGGUGAAUACGUUCCCGGGUCU